rnacentral:tRNA from 1 species
CGGGGUGUAGCUCAGCCUGGCUAGAGCGCUGCCUUUGGGGGGCAGAAGUCGCCGGUUCGAAUCCGGCCACCCCGA